AUUUUUUGGUGACUCAUUCGACUUGUGGCAAGUGUGGCUAUCCCGCCAAGCGCAAGAGAAAGUAUAACUGGAGUGCAAAGGC